CGGUUUGAAUAGCAACACUACAUUUGGUAAGAUGUUGCGAAUAUGUUUGGUGUUGGUAUUUUGUAUGCUGAUUGUGAUGUCUUUGUGUCAAAACUCAACAGAGGCUCCUGCUACCACCGCCGCAACAACAAUGGCAACUACAAUGGCACCAACAACACCCAAACCAUCCAUGUUCGAGGAUUUACUGAAUGCUGCGUUUGCUAUACCGAAAGGCAUGGUAUCAGCUUGUACCAAUGUAAAAAAAGCGAUUGGCAGCUUUUUUCAGUGAAAUUAUAAGAUGAAUUAACUAUUUUUUUAUAUCCUUAUACAUUAAUAUGACUGCAUGUAACUUUCUGGUUUAGAGAAAAGUAUUAUUUAAUUUGCUUACAACAAAACUAUUGCUGAUAAUAUACAAUAUGAUAUACACAAAAUACUUUAUUUUCUAAUAACAAAAUGUAUCGGUAGGUGUAAGUGCACCAAGAAUACCAGAAGCACCCCAAUAUCAGCUCGAUCCAUUUGACCGCGUACAACGUACCGCGUAGGGGACCCAGUGCUCUGUGAACGGCUGGCUCACUUGGCGUUGCGUAGAGGCAUCGCUUCACCUGAUUCCUGCCGCCAAAUUCCACCUUCGCACGACACGCCACAAGCUAGGAUGUCAUCCCCACCAUCUGGAUGUGUGGCGGUCCUAUGAUUCUUCUGGUGUUGCAAGAGAAUGUGGGCGGCGGUGAUCACUUAACACCAGGUGACCCGUACGCUCGUUGCUUGUCCGCCUUUUCCAUAAAAAAGCAGCAUAUUCUACUAAUAUCAUACGCCCACCUGAAUUGUUUGAAAGUAAUAAAUACUUAAGUUCUAAUUAUAAACAUAUUUUUUAUUUCUUACUUCAUCUUAUUAAUGUCUAAUACACCGAUGGAAGCUGUUUUCUUCUUUCGCUUGAGGUAUCUUCUUGGGUUCAAUUGACACGAACCAUAAAAAGAGUCUUCCAGGGAUUUUAUAAAUUUGACAGGUGGCAAUUAAAAGAUGCCACGCUGCCAUUUUCAUGUGUGAAAAAUAUAUUUGUUCAAUCUAAAGUUAAUGUAAAUCAAUAGCAUGUCAUUAUAAAUUAAUAAAAAAUUCUUACUAGAAUUCAUACUUUUUUAUACAACAUGAAGACAUAAUCUGUUGUAACCGCAAAGGAUUCUAUGAAGCGUCGCCUUUCUUUUGUGUAGGAGUACGCACUUUGUAACGUUUCUGAAGAUGAAGUCCUAUUAAUUUUGGAACUCAUAAUAAAUCCAAUCCUACACCCCAUGUUGUGCUCAAGAAGAGGGCGUGUGGAAAUCAAAGGACCUAAAGGAUUUAUCUACCACGUGGAGCCUGAUUAGUUCUUUAAUCUUUUAUAUUUAGUGGCCACUAAAUCCAAAUUGGGUUUAAUAGGUUCUGCUAUGAACUGCACUGCUUGUCGCGUGUGUUGAGUGAAAUUUUAACUUGUUACAUUAGCUGUGAUAUCACAGCCGUUAAUAGCCGUUUGCUUCCUGGCGAGAGGAUGCUAGGUGAUCACUCCCUUCCAAUACUGUCACACUUCUUGUAUCCAUGUGAGAGCCCUAAAACAAUUUUCUUACUAUAUAAGUCCAUGCGUGUUUAUUACUAUUUACUAUUUAUUUGCUAAGGAACUUUAAAAGUACCUUUGAAAUUUAUAGUAAAUAGUAAUAUAAUUUAGACACACACAAUGUCUUUAAUUAUUUAAUGCGACGAAACUUAUCACACAUUAAUUUUUAUAUCAACGUAUUACGUGACUUGUUCAUCCAUAUAAAUAUUGUCAACUUAUAAUAAUAAUAUCUGGACGACCAAGCCUUGCUCGGAUUUUUAAGAAUGUACAAAACAUGAACAAAAAAAACUAAUAGAACAUCUGAAUUCGAACCGUGGUCUUCUGCUUUCCGGAUCACCCAAUGUCCCAUCUGAGCUAUUAUAGUCUUGUAUAUAGUGGCAAAAUUUACCUUUGCAUUAAUGUUAUUGUAACUGUUUCUCAUUAAAAUAUUCAUUUUUUUUAAUUGAAGCCUAUCGAUUUCUCGCCCUCGAAAUUACCUGUAUACUAAAUUUCAUUAAAAUCGUUGAAACCAUUUCCGAGAUUCAGAAAAUAUAUAUAUACAAGAAUUGCUCAAUUAAAGAUAUAAGAUUUGGAUAUGUACAAGUCAUUGAACAAUAGCACAACAGACCAUGCGAGAAGCAUUUAACAAUCCAAGUUACACAUUACUCAUUCAAAGACUGCUAUUUCGAGUUAAAAACAAAACCCACUCAGGAAUUCUGAAAUCACUAAUGAGAUCUAGUUCAAGAUAGUUGUGUGAAAAUGAAGUCAAGAGUUGUGAUUGUUUUAACUAUGUUACUUGUGGUUUGUUAUUCCAAUAAUGACAGCUCUUUCGACUCAAGUGGCUCGAAGGAUUAUUAUAAGCCAAGUGGGGUGUUAGCAAGUGUUGGAAGAAUGUUCAUAGACAUACCUUUGGGAUUUGUUGAAGCCUUAAAAGAUGCAGCCGAAGCAAUAGAGGACGUUGCAGUAACAUUUGUGAGAGGAAUUUUUGGAUAGACGAUGUACAUUGCGGAGUGUGAAGUACAAACAAGAAGUACCAAUACAUCAAGACUUAAGAAAAACAAUUAAUGUAUAGUUUACGACGUUUAUUAACAAUUGCUUGCAAUAUAAUAGUAAUGGCGAAAUUAUAAAACUAACGAGCGAUUUUGUAUAAAGGCAAACUUUAUUUACAA